rnacentral:rRNA from 1 species
GANAAUACCAAGGCGCUUGAGAACUCGGGUGAAGGAACUAGGCAAAUGGCACCGUAACUUCGGGAGAAGGUGCGCCGGCUAGGGUGAAGGAUUUACUCCGUAAGCUCUGGCUGGUCGAAGAUACCAGGCCGCUGCGACUGUUUAUCAAAACACAGCACUCUGCAAACACGAAAGCGGACGUAUAGGGUGUGACGCCUGCCCGGUGCCGGAAGGUUAAUUGAUGGGGUUAGCGCAAGCGAAGCUCUUGAUCGAAGCCCCGGUAAACGGCGGCCGUAACAAUAACGGUCCUGGGCGAAAUUCCUUGUCGGGUAAGUUCCGACCUGCACGAAUGGCGUAACGAUGGCGGCGCUGUCUCCACCGCGAGACUCAGUGAAAUUGAAAUCGCUGUGAAGAUGCAGUGUAUCCGCGGCUAGACGGAAAGACCCCGUGAACCUUUACUGUAGCUUUGCACUGGACUUUGAGCCUGCUUUGUAGGAUAGGUGGGAGGCUUUGGAGCGUGGACGCCAGUUCGCGUGGAGCCAUCCUUGAAAUACCACCCUGGCAUGCUUGAGGUUUCUAACUCUGGUCCGUAAUCCGGAUCGAGGACAGUGUAUGGCGGGCAGUUUGACUGGGGCGGUCUCCUAAAGAGUAACGGAGGAGUACGAAGGUGCGCCUCAGACCGGUCGGAAUCGGUCGCAGAGCAUAAAGGCAAAAGCGCGCUUGACUGCGAGACAGACACGUCGAGCAGGUACGAAAGUAGGUCUUAGUGAUCCGGUGGUUCUGUAUGGAAGGGCCAUCACUCAACGGAUAAAAAGNCGGGAUAACAGGCUGAUACCGCCCAAGAGUUCAUAUCGACGGCGGUGUUUGGCACCUCGAUGUCGGCUCAUCACAUCCUGGGGCUGAAGCCGGUCCCAAGGGUAUGGCUGUUCGCCAUUUAAAGUGGUACGCGAGCUGGGUUUAGAACGUCGUGAGACAGUUCGGUCCCUAUCUGCCGUGGACGUUUGAGAUUUGAGAGGGCUGCCCUAGUACGAGAGGACCGGAGUGGACGAACCUCUGGUGUUCCGGUUGUCACGCCAGUGGCAUUGCCGGGUAAGCUAUGUUCGAAAAGAUAACCGUGAAAGCAUCUAAGCGGGAAACUUGCCUCAAGAUGAGAUCUCACUGGGAACUUGAUUCCCUGAAGGGCCGUCGAAGACUACGACGUUGAUAGGCUGGGUGUGUAAGCGUUGUGAGGCGUUGAGCUAACCCGUACUAAUUGCCCGU